AUGGGAAAGAAACCUGGAAAGGUAGGGAGGUAUGGAUAUGGACAAGCUAUGCCAAGGAGCAGGGCUUUGUCAUGGAGAGUGACUAGGUGCUUUUACAUAGGAAAGUCACCUGAUAAUAUUAAAACCUGUGAAAUAUCACUCUGGUGGAAGUGUGAAUGAAUUUGAAAGGGGUGUAACACUGUUCUACUUUGUUUACUCCUCAGUACCCUUGGCUGUGUACAUUUGAGUAAAGAGAGCACUAUAAAAUCAAAAACCAAUGAAAUGGUUUCCAGAACACAGAACUAUUAAGCUUAAGAAAAGGACAGAAGGAACUGAAGAGAGAGGAACUGUUUUGGAGCAUCACACUUCCACCUCAGAAGAAAUAAGGAAGGAAGGAGGAGGGUGUUCCCACGGCUCUUCAACCAGGCCGGCUCUUCAGCCUACAUCCCCAUCUCAUCAAGUAAAAGGGAUUUUUCAACUGGACCAACCAGAUGGUUUAACAGUGCACUCCCACACCAUUCAACUACGCAAGGGAGAUACACUUAACAUAUGCAGUCGUAUAACACCUACUAACAUUUUCAAACAUUAAACCUUUAAAAAAGAGUUCUAAAGAAAUAGAAGCUUGAAGUAUCAUCUCUCAAGUAUAUAGACACUACUUCAUGGUGUGGUAAUAUAUGCAUAUAGAAGCUAGUAAACACCUCCAGGAGAUGCAAAAGGAAUUAGAACUGCCACAAGGUGCAAGCAAAACCUUGAGGUAAUCAAUCUGCAUCCCAUUUUGGAUGAGAAUAUUUGCAACUUUGAAGGUUAUUUUAAGGACAGCAGCAGAAGAAUUAUGGCAGCUUCUUUAAAAUAUGAAGACUUCGAAGUUAUUUAUCCAAACCAACCUGAUCAUUUCUUAAGAGUGAAUAUACCUUGGAAGACGUGUCCUGCCUUUAGUAGCGUCACAAUGGAUUACAUCCUCUAUAAAGCAGUCUGGGAGGCUAACAUCUGCCACAAGACAAAUAUGGUGCCUGCCCCCAUGGAGCUCAUAUUCGAAUGGAGAAAAUGUCAACAAGUAUCCCACGGAGUGAACACUUCAAAAGGAGAAGCACAGGUGAGAAAAUCGAAUUUGGACACCGUUGAGGAGACUAUUGCAGUCAUCCAAGCUCAAGAUGGUGGAGCUUCAUCCUUGAGAAUAACCAAUGGGGAUAGAUUUAAGAGACACUUAGAGUCUGCAGCCAACAGGGCUGAAUGAGCAGAGAGUUAUGAUUCAGAAGAUCAUCUAAAAUUGAACAGCUGCCACUACUGGCAAUAAGUCUACUGCCAUUUGGUAGAUAACCUUCUUAUCACACAGAAAAAUAUCAGUACAGACAAAUAGACCGCAAAGAAAAUGAGACCAUCAGCAAAGAAGAUAAAGAAGUUUGUACAAAGCAACUUUUUAUAAAUGGAUGGCUGUCAGGCAAAAAUAAAUUUCCUGUGGACAAGACCAAGAGCAAGGCAAGAGGAAAAUAAACAUGUUUAAAC
rnacentral:lncRNA from 1 species